rnacentral:rRNA from 1 species
CAAAGAGUCGAGUUGUUUGGGAAUGCAGCUCUAAAUGGGUGGUAAACUCCAUCUAAAGCUAAAUAUGGGCGAGAGACCGAUAGCGAACAAGUACCGUGAGGGAAAGAUGAAAAGCACUUUGGAAAGAGAGUUAAAAAGUAUGUGAAAUUGUUGAAAGGGAAACACUUGAGGUCAGCUGUGUCAGGUAGUGAUCAGCCUAGCUUUUCUGCUGGGUGAAUUUUCUAGACUGACAGGCCAACAUCAGUUUUGACUGCUGGAAAAGGGCAGAGGGAAUGUGGCACUUUCGAGUGUGUUAUAGCCUUUUGUCAGAUGCAGCAGUUGGGACUGAGGAUUGCAGCGUGCUGUGAAGCCGGGUUUCGACCACGUUCACGCUUAGGAUGUUGGCUUUAUAAUGGCUUCAAUUGACCCGUCUUGAAACACGGACCAAGGAGUCUAACAUGCCUGCGAGUGUUUGGGUGGAGAAAACCCUUGCGCGUAAUGAAAGUAAAAGUUGAGAUCCCUGUCGCGGGGAGCAUUGACGCCCGGACCGGAGCUUUUAGCGAUGGAUCUGCGGUAGAGCAUGCAUGUUGGGACCCGAAAGAUGGUGAACUAUGCCUGAAUAGGGCAAAGCCAGAGGAAACUCUGGUGGAGGCUCGUAGCGAUUCUGACGUGCAAAUCGAUCGUCGAAUUUGGUAUAGGGGGCGAAAGACUAAUCGAAC